rnacentral:rRNA from 1 species
UUAAGUUAUUAAGGCGCACGGUGGAUGCCUUGGCACUAGAAGCCGAUGAAGGACGUUACUAACGACGAUAUGCUUUGGGGAGCUGUAAGUAAGCUUUGAUCCAGAGAUUUCCGAAUGGGGAAACCCAGCAUGAGUUAUGUCAUGUUAUCGAUAUGUGAAUACAUAGCAUAUCAGAAGGCACACCCGGAGAACUGAAACAUCUUAGUACCCGGAGGAAGAGAAAGAAAAUUCGAUUCCCUUAGUAGCGGCGAGCGAAACGGGAAGAGCCCAAACCAACAAGCUUGCUUGUUGGGGUUGUAGGACACUCUAUACGGAGUUACAAAGGACGACAUUAGACGAAUCAUCUGGAAAGAUGAAUCAAAGAAGGUAAUAAUCCUGUAGUCGAAAAUGUUGUCUCUCUUGAGUGGAUCCUGAGUACGACGGAGCACGUGAAAUUCCGUCGGAAUCUGGGAGGACCAUCUCCUAAGGCUAAAUACUCUCUAGUGACCGAUAGUGAACCAGUACCGUGAGGGAAAGGUGAAAAGCACCCCGGAAGGGGAGUGAAAUAGAACCUGAAACCGUGUGCUUACAAGUAGUCAGAGCCCGUUAAUGGGUGAUGGCGUGCCUUUUGUAGAAUGAACCGGCGAGUUACGAUUUGAUGCAAGGUUAAGCAGUAAAUGUGGAGCCGUAGCGAAAGCGAGUCUGAAUAGGGCGUUUAGUAUUUGGUCGUAGACCCGAAACCAGGUGAUCUACCCUUGGUCAGGUUGAAGUUCAGGUAACACUGAAUGGAGGACCGAACCGACUUACGUUGAAAAGUGAGCGGAUGAACUGAGGGUAGCGGAGAAAUUCCAAUCGAACCUGGAGAUAGCUGGUUCUCUCCGAAAUAGCUUUAGGGCUAGCCUCAAGUGAUGAUUAUUGGAGGUAGAGCACUGUUUGGACGAGGGGCCCCUCUCGGGUUACCGAAUUCAGACAAACUCCGAAUGCCAAUUAAUUUAACUUGGGAGUCAGAACAUGGGUGAUAAGGUCCGUGUUCGAAAGGGAAACAGCCCAGACCACCAGCUAAGGUCCCAAAAUAUAUGUUAAGUGGAAAAGGAUGUGGCGUUGCCCAGACAACUAGGAUGUUGGCUUAGAAGCAGCCAUCAUUUAAAGAGUGCGUAAUAGCUCACUAGUCGAGUGACACUGCGCCGAAAAUGUACCGGGGCUAAACAUAUUACCGAAGCUGUGGAUUGUCCUUUGGACAAUGGUAGGAGAGCGUUCUAAGGGCGUUGAAGCAUGAUCGUAAGGACAUGUGGAGCGCUUAGAAGUGAGAAUGCCGGUGUGAGUAGCGAAAGACGGGUGAGAAUCCCGUCCACCGAUUGACUAAGGUUUCCAGAGGAAGGCUCGUCCGCUCUGGGUUAGUCGGGUCCUAAGCUGAGGCCGACAGGCGUAGGCGAUGGAUAACAGGUUGAUAUUCCUGUACCACCUAUAAUCGUUUUAAUCGAUGGGGGGACGCAGUAGGAUAGGCGAAGCGUGCGAUUGGAUUGCACGUCUAAGCAGUAAGGCUGAGUAUUAGGCAAAUCCGGUACUCGUUAAGGCUGAGCUGUGAUGGGGAGAAGACAUUGAGUCUUCGAGUCGUUGAUUUCACACUGCCGAGAAAAGCCUCUAGAUAGAAAAUAGGUGCCCGUACCGCAAACCGACACAGGUAGUCAAGAUGAGAAUUCUAAGGUGAGCGAGCGAACUCUCGUUAAGGAACUCGGCAAAAUGACCCCGUAACUUCGGGAGAAGGGGUGCUCUUUAGGGUUAACGCCCAGAAGAGCCGCAGUGAAUAGGCCCAAGCGACUGUUUAUCAAAAACACAGGUCUCUGCUAAACCGUAAGGUGAUGUAUAGGGGCUGACGCCUGCCCGGUGCUGGAAGGUUAAGAGGAGUGGUUAGCUUCUGCGAAGCUACGAAUCGAAGCCCCAGUAAACGGCGGCCGUAACUAUAACGGUCCUAAGGUAGCGAAAUUCCUUGUCGGGUAAGUUCCGACCCGCACGAAAGGCGUAACGAUUUGGGCACUGUCUCAACGAGAGACUCGGUGAAAUCAUAGUACCUGUGAAGAUGCAGGUUACCCGCGACAGGACGGAAAGACCCCGUGGAGCUUUACUGUAGCCUGAUAUUGAAAUUCGGCACAGCUUGUACAGGAUAGGUAGGAGCCUUUGAAACGUGAGCGCUAGCUUACGUGGAGGCGCUGGUGGGAUACUACCCUAGCUGUGUUGGCUUUCUAACCCGCACCACUUAUCGUGGUGGGAGACAGUGUCAGGCGGGCAGUUUGACUGGGGCGGUCGCCUCCUAAAAGGUAACGGAGGCGCUCAAAGGUUCCCUCAGAAUGGUUGGAAAUCAUUCAUAGAGUGUAAAGGCAUAAGGGAGCUUGACUGCGAGACCUACAAGUCGAGCAGGGUCGAAAGACGGACUUAGUGAUCCGGUGGUUCCGCAUGGAAGGGCCAUCGCUCAACGGAUAAAAGCUACCCCGGGGAUAACAGGCUUAUCUCCCCCAAGAGUUCACAUCGACGGGGAGGUUUGGCACCUCGAUGUCGGCUCAUCGCAUCCUGGGGCUGUAGUCGGUCCCAAGGGUUGGGCUGUUCGCCCAUUAAAGCGGUACGCGAGCUGGGUUCAGAACGUCGUGAGACAGUUCGGUCCCUAUCCGUCGUGGGCGUAGGAAAUUUGAGAGGAGCUGUCCUUAGUACGAGAGGACCGGGAUGGACAUACCUCUGGUGUACCAGUUGUCGUGCCAACGGCAUAGCUGGGUAGCUAUGUGUGGACGGGAUAAGUGCUGAAAGCAUCUAAGCAUGAAGCCCCCCUCAAGAUGAGAUUUCCCAACUUCGGUUAUAAGAUCCCUCAAAGAUGAUGAGGUUAAUAGGUUCGAGGUGGAAGCAUGGUGACAUGUGGAGCUGACGAAUACUAAUCGAUCGAAGACUUAAUCAA